rnacentral:rRNA from 1 species
CCUACGGGUGGCAGCAGUCGAGAAUCAUUCACAAUGGGGGAAACCCUGAUGGUGCGACGCCGCGUGGGGGAAUGAAGGUCUUCGGAUUGUAAACCUCUUUUGUCGGGGAGCAAAAGACGCCACGCGUGGCGUUCCGAGAGUUCCCGAAGAAAAAGCAUCGGCUAACUCCGUGCCAGCAGCCGCGGUAAUACGGAGGAUGCGAGCGUUAUCCGGAUUUAUUGGGUUUAAAGGGUGCGCAGGCGGAAGAUCAAGUCAGCGGUAAAAUUGAGAGGCUCAACCUCUUAGAGCCGUUGAAACUGGUUUUCUUGAGGGAGUGAGAAGUAUGCGGAAUGCGUGGUGUAGCGGUGAAAUGCAUAGAUAUCACGCAGAACUCCGAUUGCGAAGGCAGCAUACCGGCGCUCAACUGACGCUCAUGCACGAAAGUGUGGGUAUCGAACAGGAUUAGAUACCCGAGUAGUC